UACAGAGGGUGCAAGCGUUAAUCGGAAUUACUGGGCGUAAAGCGUGCGCAGGCGGUUUUGUAAGACAGGUGUGAAAUCCCCCGGGCUUAACCUGGGAACUGCGCUUGUGACUGCAAGACUCGAGUACGGCAGAGGGGGGGUAGAAUUCCACGUGUAGCAGUGAAAUGCGUAGAGAUGUGGAGGAAUACCGAUGGCGAAGGCAGCCCCCCUGGGUCGAUACUGACGCUCAUGCACGAAAGCGUGGGGGAGCAAACAGG
rnacentral:rRNA from 1 species